rnacentral:rRNA from 1 species
AGAGUUUGACCUGGCUCAAGAUGAACGCUGGCGGCGUGCUUAACACAUGCAAGUCGAACGGAGAUAUCAUUUUCGAAGCGAUUAGUUUACUAAGAGUGGAGAAGAUGAUAUCUUAGUGGCGGACGGGUGAGUAACGCGUGGGUAACCUGCCUUACACUGGGGGAUAACACUUAGAAAUAGGUGCUAAUACCGCAUAAUGAGAGGAGACGCAUGUCUUCUGUCUGAAAACUCCGGUGGUGUAAGAUGGACCCGCGUCUGAUUAGCCAGUUGGCGGGGUAACGGCCCACCAAAGCGACGAUCAGUAGCCGGCCUGAGAGGGUGAACGGCCACAUUGGGACUGAGACACGGCCCAAACUCCUACGGGAGGCAGCAGUGGGGAAUAUUGGACAAUGGGGGGAACCCUGAUCCAGCGACGCCGCGUGAGUGAAGAAGUAUUUCGGUAUGUAAAGCUCUAUCAGCAGGGAAGAAAGAAAUGACGGUACCUGACUAAGAAGCCCCGGCUAACUACGUGCCAGCAGCCGCGGUAAUACGUAGGGGGCAAGCGUUAUCCGGAUUUACUGGGUGUAAAGGGAGCGUAGACGGCAGUGCAAGUCUGAAGUGAAAGGCCGGGGCCCAACCCCGGGACUGCUCUGGAAACUGCCUGGCUGGAGUACAGGAGAGGUAAGUGGAAUUCCUAGUGUAGCGGUGAAAUGCGUAGAUAUUAGGAGGAACACCAGUGGCGAAGGCGGCUUACUGGACUGUAACUGACGUUGAGGCUCGAAAGCGUGGGGAGCAAACAGGAUUAGAUACCCUGGUAGUCCACGCCGUAAA